rnacentral:rRNA from 1 species
AUUGCCGGCGACCGGCGCACGGGUGAGUAACGCGUAUCCAACCUUCCGUACACUCAGGGAUAGCCUUUCGAAAGAAAGAUUAAUACCUGAUGGUAUGAUGAGAUUGCAUGAUAGCAUCAUUAAAGAUUUAUCAGUGUACGAUGGGGAUGCGUUCCAUUAGGUAGUAGGCGGGGUAACGGCCCACCUAGCCAACGAUGGAUAGGGGUUCUGAGAGGAAGGUCCCCCACAUUGGAACUGAGACACGGUCCAAACUCCUACGGGAGGCAGCAGUGAGGAAUAUUGGUCAAUGGACGAGAGUCUGAACCAGCCAAGUAGCGUGAAGGAUGAAGGUCCUACGGAUUGUAAACUUCUUUUAUAAGGGAAUAAACCCUCCCACGUGUGGGAGCUUGUAUGUACCUUAUGAAUAAGCAUCGGCUAACUCCGUGCCAGCAGCCGCGGUAAUACGGAGGAUGCGAGCGUUAUCCGGAUUUAUUGGGUUUAAAGGGAGCGCAGACGGGUCGUUAAGUCAGCUGUGAAAGUUUGGGGCUCAACCUUAAAAUUGCAGUUGAUACUGGCGUCCUUGAGUGCGGUUGAGGUGUGCGGAAUUCGUGGUGUAGCGGUGAAAUGCUUAGAUAUCACGAAGAACUCCGAUUGCGAAG